CAGCCGCCACGGUAAUACAGAGGGUGCAAGCGUUAAUCGGAAUUACUGGGCGUAAAGCGCGCGUAGGUGGUUCGCCAAGUUGGAUGUGAAAUCCCCGGGCUCAACCUGGGAACUGCAUCCAAAACUGGCGAGCUAGAGUAUGGUAGAGGGUGGUGGAAUUUCCUGUGUAGCGGUGAAAUGCGUAGAUAUAGGAAGGAACAUCAGUGGCGAAGGCGACCACCUGGACUGAUACUGACACUGAGGUGCGAAAGCGUGGGGAGCAAACAGGAUUAGAUACCCCGGUAGUCCCUGUCUCUUAUAC
rnacentral:rRNA from 1 species